GUGCAGCUGCAGGAGGCGGAGGUGGGAGCGGUGAAGCCAGGACAGUCCCUGAAACUUACUUGCACCAUCUCUGGAGACUUGCUUUCUAGCACGAGCGCCACCUGGGACUGGGUCCGGCGGCCUGUGGGGAAAGGGCUGGAGUUUAUGGGGUGCAUCUACUAUCGGUCUAGCAGCUGGUACAUAGAUUAUGGCAGCUCCCUGCAGAGUCAAAUGAGCAUCGCACAGGACACCGCCAAGAACCAGGUCUCCCUGCAGCGCCGCUCGCUGACAGCUGCAGACCCCGCCACCUAUUCCUGCACCAGAGGCAACGCUCAGGGACACACAAGCAGGCAGAUGUACAGAAACGGGAAGCGGGUUUUUCAAUAG